AUGGCCUACCAAGGCGACGAUCCGUAGCUGGUCUGAGAGGAUGAUCAGCCACACUGGGACUGAGACACGGCCCAGACUCCUACGGGAGGCAGCAGUGGGGAAUAUUGGACAAUGGGCGAAAGCCUGAUCCAGCCAUGCCGCGUGUGUGAAGAAGGCUUUCGGGUUGUAAAGCACUUUCAGUGGGGAAGAAAGCCUGUCGGCUAAUACCCGGCAGGAACGACAUCACCCACAGAAGAAGCACCGGCUAACUCCGUGCCAGCAGCCGCGGUAAUACGGAGGGUGCGAGCGUUAAUCGGAAUUACUGGGCGUAAAGCGCGCGUAGGCGGCGUGAUAAGCCGGUUGUGAAAGCCCCGGGCUCAACCUGGGAACGGCAUCCGGAACUGUCAGGCUAGAGUGCAGGAGAGGAAGGUAGAAUUCCCGGUGUAGCGGUGAAAUGCGUAGAGAUCGGGAGGAAUACCAGUGGCGAAGGCGGCCUUCUGGACUGACACUGACGCUGAGGUGCGAAAGCGUGGGUAGCAAACAGGAUUAGAUACCCUGGUAGUCCACGCCGUAAACGAUGUAUGGCCUACCAAGGCGACGAUCCGUAGCUGGUCUGAGAGGAUGAUCAGCCACACUGGGACUGAGACACGGCCCAGACUCCUACGGGAGGCAGCAGUGGGGAAUAUUGGACAAUGGGCGAAAGCCUGAUCCAGCCAUGCCGCGUGUGUGAAGAAGGCUUUCGGGUUGUAAAGCACUUUCAGUGGGGAAGAAAGCCUGUCGGCUAAUACCCGGCAGGAACGACAUCACCCACAGAAGAAGCACCGGCUAACUCCGUGCCAGCAGCCGCGGUAAUACGGAGGGUGCGAGCGUUAAUCGGAAUUACUGGGCGUAAAGCGCGCGUAGGCGGCGUGAUAAGCCGGUUGUGAAAGCCCCGGGCUCAACCUGGGAACGGCAUCCGGAACUGUCAGGCUAGAGUGCAGGAGAGGAAGGUAGAAUUCCCGGUGUAGCGGUGAAAUGCGUAGAGAUCGGGAGGAAUACCAGUGGCGAAGGCGGCCUUCUGGACUGACACUGACGCUGAGGUGCGAAAGCGUGGGUAGCAAACAGGAUUAGAUACCCUGGUAGUCCACGCCGUAAACGAUGU
rnacentral:rRNA from 1 species